rnacentral:rRNA from 1 species
AACCUGCCCUUGACUCUGGGAUAAGCACUGGAAACGGUGUCUAAUACCGGAUACGAGCUUCAGCCGCAUGGCUAGGAGUUGGAAAGAAUUUCGGUCAAGGAUGGACUUGCGGCCUAUCAGCUAGUUGGUGAGGUAAUGGCCCACCAAGGCGACGACGGGUAGCCGGCCUGAGAGGGUGACCGGCCACACUGGGACUGAGACACGGCCCAGACUCCUACGGGAGGCAGCAGUGGGGAAUAUUGCACAAUGGGCGCAAGCCUGAUGCAGCAACGCCGCGUGAGG